CCAAUAGCGUAUAUUAAAGUUGUUGCAGUUAAAAAGCUCGUAGUUGAACUUCGGGGUUCACCCAUUGGUCAGGCUUAAUUGUCUGUACUGGUGAGAUGAGUCUCUACCUCCUGAGGAACUUUCAUGUCAUUAAUUUGGUGUGAUGGGAAAUCAGGACUGUUACUUUGAAAAAAUUAGAGUGUUUAAAGCAGGCUAACGUCUGAAUACAUUAGCAUGGAAUAAUGAAAUAGGACGGACUGAUUCUAUUUCGUUGGUUUCUAGGAUCACCGUAAUGAUUAAUAGGGAUAGUUGGGGGCAUGAGUAUUCAAUUGUCAGAGGUGAAAUUCUUAGAUUUAUUGAAGACUAACUACUGCGAAAGCAUUUGCCAAGGAUGUUUUCAUUAAUCAAGAACGAAAGUUAGGGGAUCGAAGACGAUCAGAUACCGUCGUAGUCUUAACCAUAAACUAUGCCGACUAGGGAUCGGACGAAGUUAAUUUUAUAAUGACGCGUUCGGCACCUUACG
rnacentral:rRNA from 1 species